rnacentral:rRNA from 1 species
GAGUUUGAUCCUGGCUCAGGAUGAACGCUGGCGAGAUGCUUUACACAUGCAAGUCGUACGAGAGUCUUUGACUCAAGUGGCGGACGGGUGAGUAACACGUAAGAAUUUGCCUUUAGGAGGGGGACAACAACUGGAAACGGUUGCUAAUACCCCAUAUGCUUUCGAGUGAAAUGGAUUUUUCCGCCUAGAGAGAAGCUUGCGGCUGAUUAGCUUGUUGGUGAGGUAAUGGCUCACCAAGGCGACGAUCAGUAUCUGGUUUGAGAGGACGAUCAGACACACUGGAACUGAGACACGGUCCAGACUCCUACGGGAGGCAGCAGUGGGGAAUUUUCCGCAAUGGGCGAAAGCCUGACGGAGCAAUCUCGCGUGAGGGAUGACUGCCUAUGGGUUGUAAACCUCUUUUUUCAGGGAGGAAUAAAUGACGUGUACCUGAAGAAUAAGCAUCGGCCAACUCCGUGCCAGCAGCCGCGGUAAUACGGAGGAUGCAAGUGUUAUCCGGAAUCACUGGGCGUAAAGCGUCUGUAGGUGGUUUAAUAAGUCAACUGUUAAAUCUUGAGGCUCAACUUCAAAAUCGCAGUCGAAACUAUUAGACUAGAGUAUAGUAGGGGUAAAGGGAAUUUCCAGUGGAGCGGUGAAAUGCGUAGAGAUUGGAAAGAACACCGAUGGCGAAGGCACUUUACUGGGCUAUUACUGACACUCAGAGACGAAAGCUAGGGUAGCAAAUGGGAUUAGAUACCCCAGUAGUCCUAGCCGUAAACAAUGGAUACUAGAUGUUGAACAGAUCGACCUGUGCAGUAUCAAAGCUAACGCGUUAAGUAUCCCGCCUGGGAAGUAUGCUC